UUAAUUAGGAAGAGGAAGCACCGGCGCUUAUGAGACACGCGUCAGACACGGAAGUCUCCUCCUCUCUCUCAUCUCAAUCUCUCUCCCGUGAAACCAGAUGGCUUUGAUUCCAAAACGUGAUUGAUCUCGAACGGGAGAUUCGAUCUGGUACACUCCAUGUUUAGAACAACAAGGAGUCUUCUGGAAUCACUCCCAACAUCUUCGCUUGUAAUCUCCUCGUGAAAGCUUUGUGUAAGAAGAACGAUGUGGAGAGUGCCUACAAGGUGCUCGACGAAAUUCCCGAGAUGGGUCUGGUGCCAAAUCUGGUGACGUACACGACUAUUCUUCUUUAAGCCCUUAAUUUUGUUGUGAUAUCAGAGGCUCUGCGCAUUUCUCCAUCUGUUGUAGCAGUAAUCAUUUCAAGCUUUAGAUUAGACAUGCUUUGGGAAGCUGGAAUUAACAACGUCAUCGUUUCCGGAAAGUUUAAGUCAACAGCCAAUCGCUAGCGUCCAAACUCUCACAUCGUUGCUGGAAAUCUGAUGUCAAUUGCCGUUGUUACUGUGCUUUUCUGUUUGCUGGACGCUUGACGCAACGUCUUCGUCCCGAACAGGGCUAAUCUCAUAUGUUCUUGUUAUGGUUCUGCGCAUAUGCUUUUUUUUUUUUAUCAAUUAUGCUUGUGUCUAUGUCUCUUCUGUAUCUUCUUCUUAUGUUUAUAUAAUCUUCACUC